AAUCGGCACUAGGGGUGCUUGGUUACUUUUUUUUAAACCUUGCUGAGAUCAUACCCUUCGAACGUGAUUUCUGUAUAAUAACAGCGCACGGAAGUUUGCCCAUUGUUAU
rnacentral:ncRNA from 1 species